rnacentral:rRNA from 1 species
UACGGGGGGGGUAAGCGUUGUUCGGAAUUACUGGGCGUAAAGGGCUCGUAGGCGGCCAACUAAGUCAGACGUGAAAUCCCUCAGCUUAACUGGGGAACUGCGUCUGAUACUGGAUGGCUUGGAUUCGGGAGAGGAAUGCGGAAUUCCAGGUGUAGCGGUGAAAUGCGUAGAUAUCUGGAGGAAUACCGGUGGCGAAGGCGGCAUCCUGGACCGAGAUUGACGCUGAGGAGCGAAAGCUAGGGGAGCAAACGGG